ACAUGCUUAUAACAUAACAUUAAUGCACUAAAUCCCAUUAGAACUCCAUAGUUAAGUGUGCUCAGGCUAGAGUAGUACUGGGAUGGGUGACCACUCGGGAAGUCCUACUAUUUUACAUUCC
rnacentral:rRNA from 1 species